UCGGAACCUGCAGACACUUGUGGAGG
rnacentral:piRNA from 1 species